rnacentral:misc_RNA from 1 species
GAUGAAGAACGUAGCGAAAUGCGAUACGUAGUGUGAAUUGCAGAAUUCCGUGAACCAUCAAAUCUUUGAACGCAUAUUGCGCUCGAGGCUUCGGCCGAGAGCAUGUCUGCCUCAGCGUCGGUAUUACCCCUCGCUUCUCAACCCCUGGUUGAUGCCUGCCUGCCUUUGCAGUUGGCUAGAAGCGGAUCUGGCUUUCCCAAUUGCCUUUGGUAGUUGGGUCAGCUGAAGCACAGAGGCUUGAGCAAGGACGCUUAUUGGGCUUCAACUGGAUAGGUAGAACUGGUCUUAGGACCAACUACACGAAGUUGUUGCUUGUGGUCUUUGUCUGGAGGCCAGCAGGAAACCUUUAUACCUUCGACCUGAGCUCAGGCAAGAUUACCCGCUGAACUUAAGCAUAUCAAUAAGCGGAGGA